AUGUAAUUGUGUUUCCUGAAACAAAUUAACUCUUCUGUGCUUUCCACCAAUCGUGAAGCCCUGUGUUUAGGAGAUAGGGUCAUAAUGUAUCUUCCACGUUGUGCAGACACUAAUUCUGAAGUUAGAAAACUUUCUGCUCAGAUUCUUGAUCAACUCUUUAGCAUCUCUCUUUCACUUCCAAGGC